CAGCCGCCACGGUAAUACGAAGGGGGCUAGCGUUGUUCGGAUUUACUGGGCGUAAAGGGCGCGUAGGCGGACUGAUAAGUCAGGGGUGAAAUCCCAAGGCUCAACCUUGGAACUGCCUUUGAUACUGUUUGUCUUGAGUUCGAGAGAGGUAAGUGGAACUGCGAGUGUAGAGGUGAAAUUCGUAGAUAUUCGCAAGAACACCAGUGGCGAAGGCGGCUUACUGGCUCGAAACUGACGCUGAGGCGCGAAAGCGUGGGGAGCAAACAGGAUUAGAUACCCCGGUAGUCCCUGUCUCUUAUAC
rnacentral:rRNA from 1 species